rnacentral:rRNA from 1 species
GACGUAGGGGGCCAGCGUUGUUCGGAAUUACUGGGUGUAAAGGGUUCGUAGGCGGUGCGGCAAGUUGGGAGUGAAAUCUCUGAGCUUAACCCAGAGGCUGCUUCCAAAACUGCUGUGCUUGAGUGUGGGAGAGGCGCGUGGAAUUGCAGGUGUAGCGGUGAAAUGCGCAGAUAUCAGGAGGAACACCGGUGGCGAAGGCGGCUUGCUGGGCCUUACCUGACGCUGAGGAGCGAAAGCGUGGGGAGCGAACAGG